rnacentral:rRNA from 1 species
GUGCCAGCAGCCGCGGUAAGACAGAGGGUGCAAACGUUGCUCGGAAUCACUGGGCGUAAAGGGCGCGUAGGCGGGGAUGUAAGUCGGGCGUGAAAUCCCUAGGCUCAACCUAGGAACUGCACUCGAAACUGCGUUUCUUGAGUAUCGGAGAGGAAAGCGGAAUUCCUGGUGUAGAGGUGAAAUUCGUAGAUAUCAGGAGGAACACCAGUGGCGAAGGCGGCUUUCUGGACGGUAACUGACGCUGAGGCGCGAAAGCGUGGGGAGCAAACAGGAUUAGAUACCCCGGUAGUCC